CUCCCCUUGUGAUACUCCAUUCAUGCUCUUUUUUGCAGGGUUCCCUUUUAUUAAUCCUUCUGCCAGAAAUAUGAGGUUUUUCUUGGGAGUUUUAGCUGCCUUCCAUAGUUGCAAUGGCUGACUAGGGCCCACACUGGGGCAAAGAGAUGCUUGCUAAAUAUUAUACCAACUUCAGGGACAAAGAGAGUGAUCACAGACCUGCUUAUGACAUGGAGUACACAUGGCUAGAACAAGGGAAAGAAAACGUCAAGAAACAGCUGGAAAAAAGAAAUCAUGUAUUCAUUGA